rnacentral:lncRNA from 1 species
UUUUUAUAAACUUGGCAAUUACACUAAAAAUUACAGAAUUAAAAAUUGUCCGUGUGAAUGAUUGCUAGACUCCUAGAGCUCCAGCGACCUCGGGAUUCUAAAGAGGAGCUCGUCCUAGCGUUCCACCUUGCGGUGGUGAUCGAAUUCUCUGUCGAUUGGCGAUGUUGUUGCGCUUCUCAAUUUGAAUUUCAGCCGUUGAUAUUUGUAGUGUUUUACGGGUCGUGAAAUCGAUAGAUACUAAAGAGGAAAUCACUGAACGUGAGGCAACUCGUUUGGGUUGAGUUUCGCUUGGCACUCUCGUUUGCACACUGCUCCAAGUGAGCUAAAAGCUUUUGACCCUGUGAAAAUAGAAGCUCAGCCUUGCUGUGUGAGCACUAAGUUUGCGAGGAAGAAUUUUAGUACCUGUGGCAAGUCAGGAUCUAUCCGAGCAAUAACCAAAAGUCUGCGAAGAUGAACACCCAGGAAUGCUGGCCUGUAGAGGUAUCCAGGAGUUAUGGCUUGAUAUGCGUGCUUUAGAGCUUCUAUUUGCUUGCACGAGAGACUCCGAGCCCUCUCAACUUGCUGCCAUCGAUCACAAAACCAACAGUGUUACGAGAAGAGAAGAACGAAGGGAAGAGACUACCUUCUUGAAGUGCUUCGCUG